rnacentral:ncRNA from 1 species
UUCAUUCAAGGUCGGAAAGGCUCCCGACACUCCCGCAAGGGAACUUGAGAUGAUGGAUACGCCGCCCAUCUGAAUGAC